ACUCCUACGGGAGGCAGCAGUGGGGAAUAUUGCACAAUGGGCGCAAGCCUGAUGCAGCAACGCCGUGUGAGUGAAGAAGGUUUUCGGAUCGUAAAACUCUGUCCUAAGGGAAGGAAACAAAUGACGGUACCUUAGGAGGAAGCCCCGGCUAACUACGUGCCAGCAGCCGCGGUAAUACGUAGGGGGCAAGCGUUAUCCGGAAUCACUGGGCGUAAAGGGUGCGUAGGCGGCUUAGCAAGCCAGGGGUGAAAGGCAUUGGCUCAACCAAUGUAAGCCUUUGGAACUGUUAAGCUUGAGUGCAGGAGAGGUAAGUGGAAUUCCUAGUGUAGAGGUGAAAUUCGUAGAUAUUAGGAGGAACACCAGUGGCGAAGGCGACUUACUGGACUGUAACUGACGCUGAUGCACGAAAGCGUGGGUAGCGAACAGGAUUAGAUACCCUGGUAGCACAGAG
rnacentral:rRNA from 1 species